GCCCCUGUGAGAAUGCCCUACAGUUCCCCGCCCGGAAACAAGGAGCAGGUAUCAGGCACGCCCCGCGCAGGCCCAUAACACCUUGCUUAGCCACACCCUCAAGGGACCUCAGCAGUGAUAGACAUUAAGCCAUAAGUGAAAGCUUGACUUAGUUAAAGCUAAGAGGGCCGGUAAAACUCGUGCCAGCCACCGCGGUUAUACGAGAGGCCCACGUUGAUAAACACCGGCGUAAAGCGUGGUUACGUUAGAGUUCAUACUAAAGCCAAACAUCUUCAAAGCUGUUAUACGCAACCGAAGACAGGAAGUUCAACCACGAAAGUAGCUUUAUUAAACCCGAACCCACGAGAGCUAAGGAACAAACGGGGAUUAGAUACCCCCCUAUGCCUAGCCCUAAACAUUGGUAGUACUAUACACCCACUACCCGCCCGGGUACUACGAGCAAUAGCUUAAAACCCAAAGGACUUGGCGGUGCUUUAGAUCCACCUAGAGGAGCCUGUUCUAGAACCGAUAACCCCCGUUCAACCUCACCCCUCCUUGUUUAACCC
rnacentral:rRNA from 1 species